CCUACGGGUGGCAGCAGUGGGGGAUAUUGCACAAUGGGGGGAACCCUGAUGCAGCGACGCCGCGUGGGUGAAGGAGUAUUUCGGUAUGUAAAGCCCUAUCGGCAGGGAAGAAAUUGGACGGUACCUGACUAAGAAGCCCCGGCUAACUACGUGCCAGCAGCCGCGGUAAUACGUAGGGGGCAAGCGUUAUCCGGAUUCACUGGGUGUAAAGGGAGCGUAGACGGCCAUGCAAGCCAGGGGUGAAAGCCCGGGGCCCAACCCCGGGACUGCCCUUGGAACUGCAUGGCUGGAGUGCGGGAGGGGCAGGCGGAAUUCCUGGGGUAGGGGUGAAAUGCGUAGAUAUCAGGAGGAACACCGGCGGCGAAGGCGGCCUGCUGGACCGCGACUGACGUUGAGGCUCGAAAGCGUGGGGAGCGAACAGGAUUAGAUACCCUUGUAGUC
rnacentral:rRNA from 1 species